CAGGCCUAACACAUGCAAGUCGAGCGGUAACAGGUGUAGCAAUACAUGCUGACGAGCGGCGAACGGGUGAGUAAUGCUUCGGAAUCUGCCCAAUGGUGGGGAAUGACCAGCCGAAAGGUUGGCUAAUACCGCAUAAGUCCUACGGGGGAAAGCAGGGGAUCGCAAGACCUUGCGCCGAUGGAUGAGCCGAAGUCGGAUUAGCUAGUUGGUAGGGUAACGGCCUACCAAGGCGACGAUCCGUAGCUGGUCUGAGAGGACGACCAGCCACACUGGGACUGAGACACGGCCCAGACUCCUACGGGAGGCAGCAGUGGGGAAUAUUGGACAAUGGGGGAAACCCUGAUCCAGCGACGCCGCGUGUGUGAAGAAGGCCUGCGGGUUGUAAAGCACUUUUAGUGGGGAUGAAAAGCUCAGGGCUAACACCUCUGGGUCUUGACCUAACCCACAGAAAAAGCACCGGCUAACUCUGUGCCAGCAGCCGCGGUAAUACA
rnacentral:rRNA from 1 species